UGUGUUUAAAUUUUGGUUAAUAUAAUGACAGUUUCAAUUAUAUUAGAGCUGGAAACUAUCAGACUAUAUAGAUUAGAGCUCACUCUACAUAUGAUUUAAAAAAAAAAAAAAAAAAAAAGAAUGUUUAGCAGGAUUUGAAAUAGGUACUAUAUAUUCUCAUAGUUCGGGAGAACAAGAAAGUUUUACAUGGGGUCCAAACACAGAAUUUGACUGGAUUUGUGUUCAAAAUUGUAGUCAAGAACUUUAGAUGAUUUUCUUUGAAGAGUUCAUGUAAUGUAGUAGAAAUCGUGAUUUGAUCCUUCUUCAAACUUUUGGACAUCUUUCUUCUCAGGUCAGAAGCAGCUUGAGGAAGUACAGCAGAUUUCUCCUCAGUGCAAGAGGCAAUUUGAUUCAGUAGAUGAUGAAGUUACCCGUUUUUGCAAAGGGAGAGGCAAAAUAAGAACAAAACACCUCAACCACAUUGUGUUGCCCCGUACGCCAUAUCCCCGAAUAUAUAUAUAUAUAUAUAUAUAUAUAUAUAUAUAUAUAUAUAUAUAUAUGAGUGAGCCUCUUCUUCAACUUGAAUCAGCAGUAAGUUUCCAAAUGAGGAUGUUUUGGAUCCAAGAUAUCGACUUCAUUAGUGCUCAUGACACACACUUAGGUGGGAAGUGAGAUCAAGGAAGGUGUCCUCACUGCAAGGAAUUGUGAUACCACCCAUUGGAUGAUGGUAUCAGAAUUCUUCUUCAGCUUGACUCAGCAAAUCCUGAAACAAAGGUUGGUUCAAAUAUGAUAUUGGAACCACAAAUCGUUUCUUUUGGCUCUCCCCAACAUAUAUAGACCGCAAAGUAGCCUUUUGGGAUAUCUGAUGUCUUUGAAACGGUUUGGUAUGGAGUAAGACUUCUCUUUGUGUUAGAGAUUCCAGGCAAUCGGAAACCCAUCGUUUCUAUAUUUUUAUGUGAUUGAAGGCUUGAAGCAGAAGAUAAGAAUAAGGAGUUGGUAACAGAGAAAGCUUUGAUGCUUGCAAGGAAAAGAGUUGAGUUGUUGAGGAACCUAAUCAUGUAUGUGUGUAUAUAUAGAUGAAAGGGUAUACGGAAAAUCAUCUGCUACAUGAAAUGAUUGGUGAAAAGAAGCUGAGAAGGGACUCAUGGGCUCCAGUUGGAGACACUAGCUUGUGAGAAAUCACAUGGCUUUGUCUUCCUACUCGAGCACUUUAUCACCCAUGAGAUUUCACAUGCAAAUGUGUGAUGAUCAAAGAUGGUAGCAGACAUGGGGGAGACGAACUCUGAUCUUGCCCAACUCUGAUAAUUGAUGUUGCUUACAGACAAGAAUUUGUGGUGCUAAUUACACAAUUUUACUUGCGGCCGGAUAUAAAGGGAUGCUAUAUCUUGAUUGGGAGCACCUAGCCAGCCUGGCAUUUGGUUUGUUGUUUCAUCUAUAGUCUAUGAUCUCUAGUUUCAACUGGCUAGCUGAGGGAGUAUUUUGUUUCAUUUGGUCAACCUAGGAAAUUCCUCUGAUGGUCAUGCAUCACAAGAAACUGAGAAAGCCAUACGUACAGGUACUGAUUUGCUUAUUACCAACAGUUUCAAACACCAGAGUUGAUGGACAUUGAUGCAUUCAUGAAUAGACUGAACUCGGCAUGAGUUGGUGAUUGCAACUUCUAAAACCUGCUUACACUUCUCUGUAUGUAUGCUGCUGAGUGCUGACAACCUGUCCAAGCACAUAAGAAGAUUGCAAAUUCUGAAACCUGCUGACACUUCCUCUGUAUGUAUGCUGCUGAAUCUAUACAGCUGCAAUGUCCUUGCUUAUUUUCUUUUUCAAUAUGGUGGGUGAUGUGCUUGAGGUCUCAACCAAAGAAAAAGAGGUGAUAAUACAACAGUUUUCUGGUUUUUGUUGUAAACUAUUAUGGCUAUAUUAUGUAAAUUGUGUUGUAGUAUAAUUGUAGUAUACUAUAAAUGGCUAUACCAUGUAAAUAGAUAUAGGGUAAUCAUGAUGUUGUUAUAGGAUUACAUUUUCCAUGUUUUAAGGUCCAUGUUUUAAGGCUAAAGUCUCCCUUGUUUUAGGGAGGACUUUAGGCUACAUGUUCCUACACUCUUUCCCUAUAUGUAAUCCAUUUUAGCAGAAAAUACUACUCUUCCUCCCUGCAUCAAAACUCUCUCUCUCUCUCUCUCUCUCUCAAGUUCUUUGAAGCAAAGCUCUCUCCAUUUUCUAAAACAAUUUUAUGUUCGUUUUACAACACGUUAUCAGCACGAAUAGCUCUACGAUUCGGAUUGCAGAUUGACAAGAGGAGAGGUGAAUAACUUGGGUUGCAGAGAAGAGGCAGUUCAUCUUUCAAUCAACUUCACUCUACCAGCUCUACAACCAAAGGCUGAGUCAGAAGCUCAAAUCAAGCCCAAAGUCAUAAUAACAAAUUCGAGCCAGAAGCUCAGGCCCAAGCUACAAGACCAUAACAGAAGCUCGCCAUGAGUUGCCAUGACAAAGACCAGUUUGAGCCCAGCAGGCCUACUCUCCCUCUGCAGGACCUAGCAGCCCAGCAGGCCUCACACACCAUUUAAAUUACGCAUGAAAGGCCGAGUCACAAGCCCGCAGACUAAGCCCGAUAGGCUUCACUAUCAAGCCCACUCUUUCUUUGGUCCAGCAGAACCAAAUAAAAGAAAAAAUGAUUUGAUUCUACUGAGAUUUGAACCCAGACAAUGUGCAUGUCAUUAUGGCUAUUGUAAAUAAAUUCACCAUAUUUCAUAUGUGUAAUUAAUUGCCAGAAGCAUUUAUUCACAUAAUUGUGUGACAAUUAAUAUGUUAUAUUACUAGCAUGCAAUUAAUAUCUCAAUUGAUUUGUGA